rnacentral:rRNA from 1 species
GGAAAAAGCGGAGCCGUAGCGAAAGCGAGUCUGAAUAGGGCGAAUAAGUAACAGGUCGUAGACCCGAAACCAGGUGAUCUACCCAUGUCCAGGAUGAAGGUAAGGUAAUACUUACUGGAGGUCCGAACCCACGCACGUUGAAAAGUGCGGGGAUGAGGUGUGGGUAGCGGAGAAAUUCCAAUCGAACUUGGAGAUAGCUGGUUCUCUCCGAAAUAGCUUUAGGGCUAGCCUCGAGGUAAAGAGUCAUGGAGGUAGAGCACUGUUUGGACUAGGGGCCCUUCUCGGGUUACCGAAUUCAGAUAAACUCCGAAUGCCAUGUACUUAUACUCGGGAGUCAGACUGCGAGUGAUAAGAUCCGUAGUCGAAAGGGAAACAGCCCAGACCACCAGUUAAGGUCCCCAAAUAUAUGUUAAGUGGAAAAGGAUGUGGGGUUGCUUAGACAACCAGGAUGUUGGCUUAGAAGCAGCCACCAUUGAAAGAGUGCGUAAUAGCUCACUGGUCGAGUGACCCCGCGCCGAAAAUGUACCGGGGCUAAACAUAUUACCGAAACUGUGGAUGAACCUCUUUAGAGGUUCGUGGUAGGAGAGCGUUCUAAGGGCGGUGAAGUCAGACCGGAAGGACUGGUGGAGCGCUUAGAAGUGAGAAUGCCGGUAUGAGUAGCGAAAGAAGGGUGAGAAUCCCUUCCACCGAAUAUCUAAGGUUUCCUGAGGAAGGCUCGUCCGCUCAGGGUUAGUCGGGACCUAAGCCGAGGCCGAUAGGCGUAGGCGAUGGACAACAGGUAGAGAUUCCUGUACCAGUGCUAAUUGUUUAACCGAUGGGGUGACACAGAAGGAUAGGGAAUCGCACGAAUGGAAAUGUGCGUCCAAGCAGUGAGUGUGAGAAGUAGGCAAAUCCGCUUCU